rnacentral:snRNA from 1 species
GUGUUCACUUCAUCAGCACAUGUGCUGAAAUUGAAACAAUAUAGAGAAGAAUAGCAUGGCCCCAGCGCAAGGA